rnacentral:rRNA from 1 species
GACGAACGCUGGCGGCGUGCCUAAUACAUGCAAGUUGAGCGCUGAAGGUUGGUACUUGUACCAACUGGAUGAGCAGCGAACGGGUGAGUAACGCGUGGGGAAUCUGCCUUUGAGCGGGGGACAACAUUUGGAAACGAAUGCUAAUACCGCAUAACAACUUUAAACACAAGUUUUAAGUUUGAAAGAUGCAAUUGCAUCACUCAAAGAUGAUCCCGCGUUGUAUUAGCUAGUUGGUGAGGUAAAGGCUCACCAAGGCGAUGAUACAUAGCCGACCUGAGAGGGUGAUCGGCCACAAUGGGACUGAGACACGGCCCAAACUCCUACGGGAGGCAGCAGUAGGGAAUCUUCGGCAAUGGACGAAAGUCUGACCGGGCAACGCCGCGUGAGUGAAGAAGGUUGUCGGAUCGUAAAACUCUGUUGGUAGAGAAGAACGUUGGUGGGAGUGGAAAGCUCAUCAAGUGACGGUAACUACCCAGAAAGGGACGGCUAACUACGUG